AAGGAUUUAAUGAUGAGCUCAUAGUUCAGCGGAUAACUGAUGAAGAAUCAAACAUCUUUCGCUCCUAUCUGACACUUCCU